CAGGUGGUCAUUUUCUCUAGUCAUAGGUGGUUAUGUUUGUGGUGUUGGUUGUGGUUGUUAGGUGAUGGUGGUUGUGGUUGUGUGAGAUUCUGAUGCUGUGUGAGAUUCAGAUUGUGCAGGUGGUGAAGUGAUAGUGUUGGGCACAAGUGGCGAUGCUGUUAGGUUGUGUUGGUGGUGUGGUGCAAUACGGUGCGAUGCCAAUGAUUUUGUAGCUAGUAGUACAUGUGGUUCUGGUGAGGUGAUGUACGUUUGGUUGUCAAUGUUGGGAAUGGUGGUAAGUGACCAAAUCUAUCUUCAUUGUGACUACUUGUGACUAGAUUUGUUUUAAUUGUGACCUUAUGUGACUUGAUUACAUAUAGUCACAAAUUAUACUAAUAUAAUCACAGACAAUCACACCGAUGACAAAUUUAGCCAUGAACACAUAAUGUCAUAAUUCAUACGUUAUGGGUCACAAUCCGCUGUUAAAGUCACAUUUCACUAGUCACAUGUUUGAGUUCACAAGUCACAGUCAUUUCAUAUAACUCGAAAAUCAAUAUAAACGGGUCACAGAUCAAUAUUAAUAGGUCACAUGUCGUUUUGUAGAAGUCACAGAUCAAAUUUAUAUGUCACAUUUUAUGUUACGAGUCACGAGUUGAAAAUCAUAUUUUGUGCGUCACAAUAUACACAGGUCACAGGUUAUUACCUAGAAAAAA
rnacentral:lncRNA from 1 species